rnacentral:rRNA from 1 species
UCCAAUCCUCAUGACCUAAAGGCACCAGAUCCUAUCUGAUCUUGGAAGCUAAGAAGAGUCAACACUGACUAGGACCUGGAUGGGAGACUCCCAAUGACUAUUAGUUGGUGUAGGCU